GGAAAUUCAAGUAAGUAAAAAAAUGUGUCUGCUUCGGCAAUUCGGACCAAUGGCAUUCGGUUUGGCACUUCCGAACUACCGAACUUCGGCAAUUCAGAACUUCGGUAAUUCAGUACUUCGUACAUUUGUAAGCAUCUGAAUGUCCGAAUUGCAUGAAACGAAUUACACAUGUCUAGUAAGUGGCUGUGGUGGCAGUCAGGAAACUAG